rnacentral:lncRNA from 1 species
AGCAGAAAACCCAAAUGCUCCAUCAGAUUCUUCAUUGAUCAUGAAAUGGAAGUGAAUUUUAGACUGCUGUUGAUAUUUGGUAACGCAAUAAGGAAAUGAUCCGCAAGCGCACAGAUAUCGGUGAGCAUUUCACCCGGGAGGUUAUCCAGAGUUAUUGUAUUUAUAUUUUUACCACUGGGAGAAAGGGUGCAUCUGACUAACCAAAUCUAUUGCUACU